rnacentral:rRNA from 1 species
AGCAGCCGCGGUAAUUCCAGCUCCAAUAGCGUAUAUUAAAGUUGUUGCAGUUAAAAGCUCGUAGUUGAAUUUCGGGAUCAAGGGAUUGGUCAUGCCUCGGUAUGUACUGGUCUUAUUGGUUCUCACCUUCUAAAGAACCAUGAUGUCAUUCAUUUGAUGUUAUGGGGAAUUAGGACUGUUACCUUAGAAAAAUUAGAGUGUUUAAAGCAAGCUUACGCUUGAAUACAUUAGCAUGGAAUAAUGAAAUAGGACAUCAGAUUCUAUUUUGUUGGUUUCUAGGAUCGAUGUAAUGAUUAAUAGGGAUAGUUGGGGGCAUUAGUAUUCAAUUGUCAGAGGUGAAAUUCUUGGAUUUAUUGAAGACUAACUACUGCGAAAGCAUUUGCCAAGGAUGUUUUCAUUAAUCAAGAACGAAAGUCAGGGAUCGAAGACGAUCAGAUACCGUCGUAGUCU